rnacentral:rRNA from 1 species
GACGAACGCUGGCGGCGUGCCUAAUACAUGCAAGUCGAACGCUUCUUUCCUCCCGAGUGCUUGCACUCAAUUGGAAAGAGGAGUGGCGGACGGGUGAGUAACACGUGGGUAACCUACCCAUCAGAGGGGGAUAACACUUGGAAACAGGUGCUAAUACCGCAUAACAGUUUAUGUCGCAUGGCAUAAGAGUGAAAGGCGCUUUCGGGUGUCGCUGAUGGAUGGACCCGCGGUGCAUUAGCUAGUUGGUGAGGUAACGGCUCACCAAGGCCACGAUGCAUAGCCGACCUGAGAGGGUGAUCGGCCACACUGGGACUGAGACACGGCCCAGACUCCUACGGGAGGCAGCAGUAGGGAAUCUUCGGCAAUGGACGAAAGUCUGACCGAGCAACGCCGCGUGAGUGAAGAAGGUUUUCGGAUCGUAAAACUCUGUUGUUAGAGAAGAACAAGGAUGAGAGUAACUGUUCAUCCCUUGACGGUAUCUAACCAGAAAGCCACGGCUAACUACGUGCCAGCAGCCGCGGUAAUACGUAGGUGGCAAGCGUUGUCCGGAUUUAUUGGGCGUAAAGCGAGCGCAGGCGGUUUCUUAAGUCUGAUGUGAAAGCCCCCGGCUCAACCGGGGAGGGUCAUUGGAAACUGGGAGACUUGAGUGCAGAAGAGGAGAGUGGAAUUCCAUGUGUAGCGGUGAAAUGCGUAGAUAUAUGGAGGAACACCAGUGGCGAAGGCGGC